rnacentral:lncRNA from 1 species
CCACAUCAAUUUUUGUAGAUUUUUUUGAUUUAGGAAGGGACAUGAAAAUAUCCCUUCUCUGAUCACGCAUGUAGAAGAGGGUGCUGAUCAACAUAUCAUUAAUAAGAGUCCUUCUGCGUGAAGGAACUCUUAUCUCAGAUAAUCUCAUCAGAUAAGACUUUUUUUUGUAGAAUGUGUCCCUCCCUUUUGGCAUCCCUCUGGUGGCUAUAAAUUGGUCUGGGCAUUAGGUGUCCGAGGCAUUC